UGAAUGUUCAGCUGCCGCUGCCACGGUCAACACGGUGAACGGUGGCCUGUCCUCAACGACGGCGGCGUAACAUGAACCAAACAGGAAAAAACAACCCGUCAAAACCGAACCACCUAUGAACCGGCACAGGGCACCGGAAGGCUUUGAUGGGACUAUCCGGAGUUGGAAACUUUCGACAGCUAUGAGGGAAGAAUCGAUAGUGGACACCUAGGGCAACCAAUUGGAAUGUACUGGCUGUUCCGAUGCUCCGGCUAAGCGGUUGCAAUCUUCGGAUCCAGUCCAAGGAGACUCAAGGUUUGGCGUCGAAACCAUUCAUCGUUGUUCUAAUGGAACUGUCCGUCAACGAACAUCUUUUGAUAUUUUAACAAUAUGGCUGAAACAUCUUUAAGUGUUGUCCUGAGAGGCGAAGUUUGGACAAUGAAGCCUAACGAAUGAACAAUGAAGCCUCUUAUAGGUAAUUGAAAUGUAAAACAUAUAAACAUACAUAGUUUAAU